GACGAACGCUGGCGGCGUGCCUAAUACAUGCAAGUUGAGCGCUUAAGGUUGGUACUUGUACCAACUUGAUGAGCAGCGAACGGGUGAGUAACGCGUGGAGAAUCUGCCUUUGAGCGGGGUACAACAUUUGGAAACGAAUUCUAAUACCGCAUAAAAACUUUCAACACAAUUUUUAAGUUUGAAAGAUGCAAUUGCAUCACUCAAAGAUGAUCCCGCGUUGUAUUAGCUAGUUGGUGAGGUAAAGGCUCACCAAGGCGAUGAUACAUAGCCGAACUGAGAGGGCGAUCGGCCACACUGGGAGGGAGACAGGGCCCAAAGUGAUAGGGGAGGCAGCAGUACGGCAACUUGGGCAAUGGAUGAAAGACUGAGCGAGAAAGGCGGAGUGAGUGAAGAAGGUCUUCGGAUGGUAGAACUCUGUUGGUAGAGAAGAAAGUGGGUGAGAGUGGAACGAUGAUCAAGUGACGGUAACGAGUAAGAAAGGGACGGCUAACUACGUG
rnacentral:rRNA from 1 species